GACAGAGGGGGCAAGCGUUGCUCGGAAUCACUGGGCGUAAAGGGCGCGUAGGCGGGAUGGCAAGUCAGUCGUGAAAUCUCUCGGCUCAACCGGGAAACGUCGGCUGAUACUGCCGUUCUUGAGGGAUGCAGAGGAGACUGGAAUUCCCGGUGUAGCGGUGAAAUGCGCAGAUAUCAGGAAGAACACCCGUGGCGAAGGCGGCUCUCUGGGACGGUACUGACGCUGAGACGCGAAAGCGUGGGGAGCGAACAGG
rnacentral:rRNA from 1 species